AAAUGCGUUAAGUAAUGUGAAUUGCAGAAUUCAGUGAAUCAUCGAAUCUUUGAACGCACCUUGCGCUCCUUGGUAUUCCUUGGAGCAUGCCUGUUUGAGUAUCAUGAAAUCUUCAAAGUAAAUCUUUUGUUAACUCAAUUGGUUUCUACUUUGGUAUUGGAGGUCUUUGCAGCUUCACACCUGCUCCUCUUUGUUCAUUAGCUGGAUCUCAGUGUUAUGCUUGGUUCCACUCGGCGUGAUAAGUUAUCUAUCGCUGAGGACACUGUAAAAGGUGGCCAAGGUAAAUGCAGAUGAACCGCUUCUAAUAGUCCAUUGACUUGGACAAUACUUUUAUGAUCUGAUCUCAAAUCAGGUAGGACUACCCGCUGACCUUAAGC
rnacentral:misc_RNA from 1 species